rnacentral:rRNA from 1 species
UGGGGAAUAUUGGACAAUGGGCGCAAGCCUGAUCCAGCCAUGCCGCGUGAGUGAUGAAGGCCCUAGGGUUGUAAAGCUCUUUCACCGGUGAAGAUAAUGACGGUAACCGGAGAAGAAGCCCCGGCUAACUUCGUGCCAGCAGCCGCGGUAAUACGUAGGUGGCAAGCGUUAUCCGGAAUUAUUGGGCGUAAAGCGCGCGUAGGCGGUUUUUUAAGUCUGAUGUGAAAGCCCACGGCUCAACCGUGGAGGGUCAUUGGAAACUGGAAAACUUGAGUGCAGAAGAGGAAAGUGGAAUUCCAUGUGUAGCGGUGAAAUGCGCAGAGAUAUGGAGGAAAACCAGUGGCGAAGGCGACUUUCUGGUCUGUAACUGACACUGAUGUGCGAAAGCGUGGGGAUCAAACAGG